GGACUACAAGGGUUUCUAAUCCUGUUUGCUCCCCACGCUCUCGCGCCUCAGCGUCAGUAUCUGUCCAGGUAGCCGCCUUCGCCACUGGUGUUCCUUCCGAUCUCUACGCAUUUCACCGCUACACCGGAAAUUCCACUACCCUCUACAGUACUCCAGUCAGACAGUUUGAAAUGCAGUUCCCGGGUUAAGCCCGGGGAUUUCACAUCUCACUUGUCUCACCGCCUACGCGCCCUUUACGCCCAGUAACUCCGAUUAACGCUUGCACCCUCUGUAUUACCGCGGCUGCUGGCAC
rnacentral:rRNA from 1 species